AACAGGAUUAGAUACCCUGGUAGUCCACGCCGUAAACGAUGUCGACUUGGAGGCUGUUCCCUUGAGGAGUGGCUUCCGGAGCUAACGCGUUAAGUCGACCGCCUGGGGAGUACGGCCGCAAGGUUAAAACUCAAAUGAAUUGACGGGGGCCCGCACAAGCGGUGGAGCAUGUGGUUUAAUUCGAUGCAACGCGAAGAACCUUACCUGGCCUUGACAUCCAGAGAACUUUCCAGAGAUGGAUUGGUGCCUUCGGGAACUCUGAGACAGGUGCUGCAUGGCUGUCGUCAGCUCGUGUUGUGAAAUGUUGGGUUAAGUCCCGCAACGAGCGCAACCCUUAUCCUUUGUUGCCAGCGAUUCGGUCGGGAACUCAAAGGAGACUGCCGGUGAUAAACCGGAGGAAGGUGGGGAUGACGUCAAGUCAUCAUGGCCCUUACGGCCAGGGCUACACACGUGCUACAAUGGCGCAUACAAAGAGAAGCGACCUCGCGAGAGCAAGCGGACCUCAUAAAGUGCGUCGUAGUCCGGAUCGGAGUCUGCAACUCGACUCCGUGAAGUCGGAAUCGCUAGUAAUCGUGGAUCAGAACGCCACGGUGAAUACGUUCCCGGGCCUUGUACACACCGCCCGUCACACCAUGGGAGUGGGUUGCAAAAGAAGUAGGUAGCUUAACCUUCGGGAGGGCGCUUACCACUUUGUGAUUCAUGACUGGGGUGAAGUCGUAACAAGGUAGC
rnacentral:rRNA from 1 species